GAAAUGCGAUAAGUAAUGUGAAUUGCAGAAUUCAGUGAAUCAUCGAAUCUUUGAACGCACCUUGCACCCUUUGGUAUUCCGAAGGGUACGCCCGUUUGAGUGUCAUUGUAAUCUCACCCCCGAGUCUUUUUCGUCUCGGGAGUGGACUUGGACGUUGCCGCGUACGUCGGCUCGUCUCGAACAUCUCAGUGUACCCCGCCCGUCGGCGUAGACAGUGUGAUAGGUAUCUUCACUGCUCCAGUCUCUUCGGAGACGCGCCUUCAGGAUGUGGACGUGUGCUGCCAACCGUCUUCGGACAAACCAAUCGACGAUUUGACCUCAGAUCGGGUGGGACUACCCGCUGAACUUAA
rnacentral:misc_RNA from 1 species